rnacentral:lncRNA from 1 species
CUUGAGAUGCCUCAAGGUCCCUCUGCCAUGAGGGACCGUCACUGCCCCUGCACACUCAGACAGCCUUUGGACUGACCAUCUGGGCUGUCCAGGGCCAUGUGCCAUCCAAACCCCCUGGCAUCUGCACCUUCAGUGUGGCCCCUGCAGGAUGGUCCUUAUUGGCUGUUACCACUCAGCCUCCCACAUCCACCAUGUUAAGCUCAAGCCCCCACUGCCCCUCCUGGACCUUGUGACCUUCAGCAGCUUUGGCUGAGAGCUGGGCAAUGCCCUUUGCUGCCUCAGCCCUGGGACCACAGCCUACACUUUCCCUGGGCCCCAUCCAAGAACAAAGCCUUUUGCAGGAGCAGGGACCCCCAGCCCUCUCUGCCCCCAGGCCCUCUGUCACCUGAGAAUCUCUCCCCAACCUCCCCACAGGCUCCGGGCAGCUGAUGGCCCUUAGAGCCAGGCCUUCUCCUCUAGGAAGUCCCCCAUGCCAUCUGACAGCCCAGGUGAUGCCUGUGUUUGGGCUGCACCCUGGGCCUCAGGGACGAGGGGGCUUGGCAGGACUGUGCCUCGGUGGGAGGUCUGCGUGAAUCACCCCUCAGUGGAGGCACAAACGCAGGAAACUCUAUUCUGUCAAACUGUUUUCUCUUGCGGGGGAGAACCGGCCACACGAAGGCAUUGUUCAUGGCUAGCGCCUUCCGGGUGGGCCCACUCUGGAAUGGGAUGAGUGGCUUCCCCUCAGGACCCAAGGGCGCCUGGAGGUUGGAAAUGUGGGGUCUUGGUCCAGUCACCGGCCCUGGGAGACACUGCAUAUCCACUAGGCUUGUGCCCUCGGAAGUGGGGGCUGAUCAGCCUGAGGUGGUGCAGGGCUGGAGCCCAGCCCUCGGCUCUGCAGGACUUGCGCCUGCACAAGCCCCUCCAGCCAGACUGGGCUCCAUGAACAUGGGGGGCAGGCAGCCCUCAUAUGGCCCCAGCCCUAUCCCGAGGACUUCUCACAAGGGGGAGGUGGUGAGGGUGGUGAUAUGACACCACUCAGGUGCUCACCUGUUCCUGGGGACUGCUGAGAGGACCUAGGCAGCAUCUCCAAAGGGCAGGGACAGCCACCCUAACAUGCUUGGGGCAGUGCAGGGUGAGGGUGGCGAGGGGGUCAAGUGGGCAGGCUCCUUGCUCCAGCACCCCUCUGCCAACUGGGCAGGCUCCCAGUGGGGCCUGAGUGUCAGGGUGGGGGAGCAUGCCACGUGUUCCCUGGUGGCCACUUGGCCUCUGAGUUCUGCCCUCCAGUCCUG